AGUAUUGCAGAUGUGGUGAGGAAGACAGCUAGGAAGGUACUGGGUGUGACAGUUGGACAGCGGAAGCAAAACAAGGAGACUUGAUGGUGGAACAAAGAUGUCUAGGAAAGCAUAAGGAAAAAGAGGCUGGCAAAAAAGAAUAGUGAUAGUCAGAGAGAUGAAGAAAUAGACAUGUACAAGGA